rnacentral:rRNA from 1 species
UACAGAGGUGGCAAGCGUUGUUCGGAAUUACUGGGCGUAAAGGGCGCGUAGGCGGUCUUGUAAGUCUUGUGUGAAAUCCCUCGGCUUAACUGAGGAACUGCACGAGAUACUGCAAGGCUUGAGAUCGGGAGAGGGAAGCGGAAUUCCGGGUGUAGCGGUGAAAUGCGUAGAUAUCCGGAGGAACACCGGUGGCGAAGGCGGCUUCCUGGACCGACACUGACACUGAGGCGCGAAAGCUAGGGGAGCAAACGGG